CGUGGCUUCCCGACUCGGUACCGCGCGGCUGCUCACCUCCGCGGCCUCGCCUCCUGCGGCUUCCAGGUUGCACCGAGCGCUCCUCUUCGCGCCGCUCCCAUGGUCUCUGUUUUCCCCCUUCUCUCUCUAGACUCAACGUCACAACUACCCGGACCUCUGCAGUCCUGAAAGUGCAGCAGGCACGGACAGAGUCGCAUCGACUCGGGCUUCAUGCCUUUCGCCGGCUCUCCUUCCUUCUCCUGGGCAUCGAAGCCAGUUCUCCACCCCAUUCUUGGCCAAGGUGUUUCUUCCUGGAGACUCCCACUCAGCCAUACCUGUCCACAGGAGAAGGAAACCAGACCUGGAAUGAACUCAGACUGAGAUCUUUUCCUGGAGUUUCAUGGCCCUCAGCCUUGCCUGGGACCAUCUUCAUAACUGUCUUCUCCAAAAUCAAGGCACAACACAUGGUGGACUGGAUCCUGGAAGCUAGAGGUCAGGGUAGCAUACUUCAUAGAUGAGGCUCCUGGGACACAGGCAAGACAGAAAAUGAAUGUCGGAACAGAGUUCUUCCUUCCCUGAAUAAAGCCUUGGUGAUGAACGAGUUGGCCUGAGUAGGUGUGAUGAAGUAAGUCCUUGGUGUGACUGAACCUUGCCUGGGAGCUUCUACAAGGUUGCAAGGCGAGGGAAGCCUUCCUGCUGCUCCUGAGGGAAGGAUACAGAAUGCCUUCUGUGCUCCCCACACCCAACAAGAGUCAGUCCCUAGGACCCAAACGUAUCUUACCUACUGGAACUGCCUGUGCUUUGUAUCUGCUGGAUCUUCUGUAUCCAGGACUGGAAAAGAUGUCUACAGCAUGGACCUGGAAUGGAAGGAGCCCUCCUUCCAGUGACUUCUCUUGGGACCACCUGGACUUUGCCAUUGCAAGGGGUCUGUGGGUGAUGUUUGCCCAUCUCAUUACCCUUCCCCACCAGGAAGUUUCUCCUCUGCUGAACAGUGUGGCCAGGAACUGUCUGAGGAUGCAAGAGGAAGUUAGAUGGGGUUUCGGGGUGGGUCUCCUGACUUUGAAUUCUAAUGAAGCAAAGGUUAGAGAGUUAAAGGCUUGGGCCUUGAGGCCGCAGCUGAAGAAGACCCUGAAAGUCAAAAAAAGUCAUGUGUGCAUCUGAAUAUAUGAAUAGGUGUGUGUGUGUGUGUGUGUGUGUGUGUGUGUGUGUGUGUGUGUGUAAGAGAGAUGGGGGGAUAUGGGGGAGGAGAGAGCUGUGCAGGCGAUCAAGAGUCAAAGUGAAAGGAAAUAGGCAUGGAUGGACCAUGCCAGAUGACAACAAUGGUCAUAGCUAGAAUUUAUGUAACACUGGAUGCCAAGCCUGUUCUAAAUUAUUUUUUAAUUUGUUUUUGUUUUUUAUGUAUGAGUGUCUUGCUUGCAUGUAUGUAUGUGUAUCAUGUGUGUGCCUGGUGCCCAUAGACGUCAGAGGAAGACAUUGGAUCCCUGGAGUCACAGAUAGUUGUGAGCAACCAUGUGGGUGCCAGGAAUCGACCCCAGGUCCUCUGCAAGAGCAGCAAAUGUUUUUAGCUGCUGACCCAUCUCUCCAGCCCCAUGUCCCAAAUUUGUUGUAUGUAUUAACUAUUUUAACCCUUGUAACCAACUUCAGAUAUUAUUAGCCCAUUUUGCAUUGGCUGAAACCUAGGCCCAGGGAACAAAUAACUGGAAGUAAAAUUUG
ensembl:lncRNA